UGGCAUUUAAGUAACCUAUAUUUUAAAAUUGUGUUCUUUUAUUUGCUCUUGGCUGCAUUUCAAUUUGAUUUUAUGCUCAUUCAUUUAAUAGUAUGAUUAAUUUGUUUUUUCUCGUUCUGUUACAGAGAUUACCCGAUAAGUUAAGCUUAUUCUGAUCUACAAAUAGGAUAGGAUGGUGUGCAAUGGUGAAAUUCUACCUGCAUUAUUACCUGCAAAUAUGAUACCAUUGAUUGUAGGAGUCCUUUUCUCCAGAAAGUAGCAGUAUCCCAAGAAAUUCUAAAAGUGCCUUUUUUCCACAACAAAGACAUUACUUGUUCAUUUGUGGAAAUGAAUUAUCAACAUCAAUGGUACAGUACACAGUCAAGAGUACAAAGAGUAAAAACUCUGAAUGCCAUGUAUUAUGCGACAUUGGUUCCUCAUUCACUCCAGGUAGUAGAAGUACCUGAAGUCCUGAGGAGAGCGUGAAGGUGCCUUUUUUACAUUUGGAACAGAAACAGUGUGUUAUUGCCAAAGGAAGGGUUUAUGAAACUAUGAGACGGAUUGAUUGGUUAACAAAUGGGAGAGAUUGGAAUGUUAAUUUUAACCCUAACGAUGACGACAUGGGAUGUCUGCAUGGGUAUCCUUUCUGAAUUUGGUUUUCAUUCCACACAUGUAAACGUUGAAACACUACAUUCUACAGCUAAUUCAGUGAUCAGGCGAUGGAACUUGCACGAAGCAAAAACGCAGAUAAAUUGAAUUCUGUAAAACGGGGAUGAAAUUAAGCACGCGAUUGGUUACAGCGUCGCAGACAUCGAAUUUAACGCAUCUGAUUGGCGUUUGUCUACGUCAUCAGUGCUUCAUGUGGUAGCAAUCGCAAAUUCGCGACAAGCCAGAGAGGCGUUUUGUUCAUUAUAAGUUCAUAAAGUUUCGAUGUGGAAGGACGUGUUUUCGCGUCUCUUAAAUUCAACUUAUCGAGCUAAUUUUCUCGCAAAAUUAGUUUUAAUUUGUUCUACGUCUAAAAGAUUGGCCAACAGUUGAGAGAGAUUGGAACUGAUAUCUUUGCUUACUGAAAAGAUAAGUCGUCUCCUAUGGUGUUUUAGCUGUUAACCUUUCAUCUUGGAGGCUCUUGUAGUUAAUUAAGGAACAUUAGAAGAACUCCGGAUACCAUUAAAUUAUGAAAUUAUGGAGCAUUGGUUGUAUUAGUCCUCAUUUGCCCUGUCAAAGUAGCUGUGCCCAUGGUUCUAAAGAAAGCAUGAAAGUGCCUUUUUUUAUUGGGAACGAAGACAGUGUGCUGAAAAAGGAUUUAUGACAAGGAACUGAUUGUUGUCCCACAAAUGAAAAGGAAUUGCAGCUAAUUUUGGUGCUACUAAAACAACUGAUGCUUUUGACGUCUUCACCUUGCAACAUUAUGCAGUUAAUUUUUGCAGUAACAAAGGGAGGCAAUUGGAAAUUAAUUAAUUUGGAUGCAACUGGAACAAAUUAUCUGCAGUGGUAUCCCUCCUAGAUUUGGUUGGUUUGCUCAUCACACUGAUAGACUUUAGAACGCCACUUUCUACAAUUAAUUAAGAGUAAAUUGGUAUUUAUCAUUGAUGUAUCUAUGGAGUUUAUCUAUCUAUGGAUUUUCUUUUUAACCUUUUUCUGUUGUCUAUGUCGUAUUAUUUGACGUUAAUCUAUGUCGUGAUCUAUGGUUGUGAUGUAAAAUGGUGUAAAAUUAUUGUUUGUUUAUUUUAUAAUUCAGCUGUUUUACU